UACAGAGGUCCCGAGCGUUGUUCGGAUUCACUGGGCGUAAAGGGUGCGUAGGUGGCAUGCAAAGUUUGAUGUGAAAGCUCAGGGCUUAACCCUGAAAUGGCAUUGAAUACUGGUGUGCUGGAGGUUUGGAGGGGGGACUGGAAUUCUCGGUGUAGCAGUGAAAUGCGUAGAUAUCGAGAGGAACACCAGUGGCGAAGGCGAGUCCCUGGACAACACCUGACACUGAGGCACGAAAGCCGGGGGAGCAAACAGG
rnacentral:rRNA from 1 species